AUGAAAACCUCUUCUAAACUAUGCAGAAGCUGCGGACAUUUGACUAUCCUAUAUUCGACAACUGCUUCCAAAGCAAUCCUACCGAAAACAGAUCACACGGCCCCCAGGGGCGGGCAGGACAGGCCGCCGGGCCCCGGUUCAGGAGCUGCGCGCUCCACACAUUGUUUAGAGGCCGAGGCGACACAGCCAUCUUGCGUCGGGCGCCAGGGCCCGAGAGGAGAGCGAGCCCAGUCCCCAGAUCCCGGAGGCAGGCACUGGCGAGGGGCUGCCCAGCAGGCAGGCGGCCCGCCCGAGUCAGGCAGGAUUCUGAGCCAUCAAGUUGUCUGUGGUGGACUCGGGCUGGACCCGCAGGACCCUGCCGCACUUGGCUGGUCGCGCAGGCGGGAAGGAGGCCGUCGGUCCGCCCCUCCUGAUGCCGCAGCGGCCCCGUCCGACAGCGGGCGCGGGACUCCAGGCUCCGAUUUGCUAGCUUCCUGGGAGCGGGAUGGCAGUCCGCCGCCGCGCCGCCGUCGCUCUCCAACGCCAGCGCCGCCUCUAGCUCGCCGAGCUCCAACCGAAGGAGAAGGGGGGUAAGUUUCCCCGUCUGUCCUCUUCCCCGAAACCGAGCCCCGCUUGCCGUCAGCCCCGACCCGGGCCCUGGUGGUGCCGGGAGGGUACCCGUAGCCCCUCCACCUUAGCCCACAAACUUUUUGGCCCAGAAAUGAAGCGAGUUUCCUUCUUCCCUCUGGCGGCGGCGGCUCCCCAGUCUCUCGCCGCCUCAGCCCAACAGCAGCAACCGCCGCGGCGCCGAGCCUGCUCUCCCUCCUCCUCCCCGCGCCCCUGGCUCCUCUUUCUUCGGUGAUAUCCCGCCCGCUGCCCCUUCCGCGGACCCCAAACCUUCACCACGACCCGCGCGGGCCUCUUAACUACUGCCCCCGGGCCCCGGCCCCCAGUUUUCGGGCGGGAAAGGGGUGGAAAUCGCUGCCGCUUCGCACCCUGGGGUAACUCGCUUUUUGCUGCCUCCCCACAGUUGUUGCUAAGCUUCACCAUCUUGUCUCUCUUCUCUGGUCACCGACCAUAUUUUUUCCCCCGUUUCUCUCUUCCCCAUUUCAAAAAAGCAAGAAUUUUUAAAAGAGGGACAUUUUUUCCCCUUUUUUGGAGAAGCGAAAACUUGAUGCAUUUGAAAUGCAAAAAAACUUUUGCAUUUUGGAGGGCGGCACGUGGCAGGGGAUCGGGGUAUUUUCGAGAGAUUUGGUGUUUUGUCUCUUUGGAACGGAAUCGGAUACGUUUUGCGAUUGUUUCCAUUUUGUUCUGGUCUGGGAGCCGAGUUGGUGCCUGCUCGAGGCGCUGGGAGCUAGACGGGCAGGUUGGGGGACCCUGUGCCGAGGGACCCAGAGGAGGCAAAACCAAAAGUUUAUGUGGUGCUUGGGGUGGACCGGUCGGCGGAUGUCGUGCCUUAAUUAAAGCCUGGGUAAGUAAGGAGGUCUCUAUACCAUGGCUCGUACAAAGCAGACUGCCCGCAAAUCUACCGGUGGUAAAGCACCCAGGAAGCAACUGGCUACAAAAGCCGCUCGCAAGAGUGCGCCCUCUACUGGAGGGGUGA
rnacentral:lncRNA from 13 species